CCUACGGGGCGCUGCAGUGAGGAAUAUUGGUCAAUGGACGAGAGUCUGAACCAGCCAAGUAGCGUGAAGGAUGACUGCCCUAUGGGUUGUAAACUUCUUUUAUAUGGGAAUAAAAUGUUCCACGUGUGGGAUUUUGUAUGUACUAUAUGAAUAAGGAUCGGCUAACUCCGUGCCAGCAGCCGCGGUAAUACGGAGGAUCCGAGCGUUAUCCGGAUUUAUUGGGUUUAAAGGGAGCGUAGGUGGAUUGUUAAGUCAGUUGUGAAAGUUUGCGGCUCAACCGUAAAAUUGCAGUUGAAACUGGCAGUCUUGAGUACAGUAGAGGUGGGCGGAAUUCGUGGUGUAGCGGUGAAAUGCUUAGAUAUCACGAAGAACUCCGAUUGCGAAGGCAGUUCACUGGACUGCAACUGACACUGAGGCUCGAAAGUGUGGGUAUCAAACAGGAUUAGAUACCCUUGUAGUC
rnacentral:rRNA from 1 species